UACGUAGGGUGCAAGCGUUGUCCGGAAUUAUUGGGCGUAAAGAGCUCGUAGGCGGUCUGUCGCGUCGGCUGUGAAAACCCGGAGCUCAACUCCGGGCCUGCAGUCGAUACGGGCAAACUGGAGUACUGCAGGGGAGACUGGAGUUCCUGGUGUAGCGGUGAAAUGCGCAGAUAUCAGGAGGAACACCGGUGGCGAAGGCGGGUCUCUGGGCAGUAACUGACGCUGGAGGAAGCGGAAAGCGUGGGGAGCGAACAGG
rnacentral:rRNA from 1 species